UCCUCAUUUUAUCUCACUCACACACACACACACACACACACACACACACACACACACACACACACACACACACACACACAAAGCAGCAGCAAAAUUAAGACAUUACCCUCAGAUGUAUUAUCUACUCUACUACAGCUCUUUAUUCUUUUUUUGCAUUUGGUUUCAUCAGGUUUGGUUGACCAGCAUGCACACAUCGGCCUUGGAUCAUGCAAGCGAGUCCACAGCGGGAUUGACAGGUCA